rnacentral:rRNA from 1 species
UACGGGGGGAGCAAGCGUUGUUCGGAUUUACUGGGCGUAAAGGGCGCGUAGGCGGUCAGCACAAGUCAAUUGUGAAAUCUCCGAGCUUAACUCGGAAAGGUCAACUGAAACUGUGCGACUAGAGUGCGGAAGGGGCAACUGGAAUUCUUGGUGUAGCGGUGAAAUGCGUAGAUAUCAGGAGGAACACCAAUGGCGAAGGCAGCUCGCUGGGACGGUACUGACGCUAAGGCGCGAAAGCGUGGGGAGCAAACAGG